rnacentral:miRNA from 1 species
CACAUCUUUGGAGUCAGAGUUG